rnacentral:ncRNA from 1 species
GCUGAUGCCAGCACAUGGCACCGGACGAGGCGCACCCGUACCCGGCCAGCGAAAAGACGGGGUGUU